GCGAAAUUCCUUGUCGGGUAAGUUCCGACCUGCACGAAUGGCGUAACGACUUCCCUGCUGUCUCAACCACAGGCCCGGUGAAAUUGCAGUACGAGUAAAGAUGCUCGUUUCGCGCGGCAGGACGAAAAGACCCCGGGACCUUUACUAUAGCUUGGUAUUGGUGUUUGGUCAUGCUUGUGUAGGAUAGGUGGGAGACUGUGAAGCCGCAACGCUAGUUGUGGUGGAGUCGCAGGUGAAAUACCACUCUGGUGUGAUUGGGUACCUGAACCUUGGCCCGUGAUCCGGGUUGGGGACAGUGCCUGGUGGGUAGUUUAACUGGGGCGGUUGCCUCCUAAAUGGUAACGGAGGCGCCCAAAGGUUUCCUCAGUCUGGUUGGCAAUCAGAUGGUGAGUGUAAGUGUAUAAGGGAGCUUGACUGUGACACUGACGGGUGGAGCAGGUGCGAAAGCAGGGACUAGUGAUCCGGCACCGACGUGUGGUUGUGGUGUCGCUCAACGGAUAAAAGGUACCCCGGGGAUAACAGGCUGAUCUUCCCCAAGAGUUCAUAUCGACGGGAUGGUUUGGCACCUCGAUGUCGGCUCGUCGCAUCCUGGGGCUGGAGUAGGUCCCAAGGGUUGGGCUGUUCGCCCAUUAAAGCGGCACGCGAGCUGGGUUUAGAACGUCGUGAGACAGUUCGGUCUCUAUCCGCCGCGCGCGUUGAAACUUGAAGAAGGCUGUCCCUAGUACGAGAGGACCGGGAUGGACGUACCUCUGGUAUGCCAGUUGUCACGCCAGUGGCAUGGCUGGUUAGCUACGUGCGGGAGGGAUAACCGCUGAAAGCAUCUAAGCGGGAAGCCUGUUUUGAGAUGAGGUUUCUGUUGAGGUUCCCUAUAGAUGAUGGGGUUGAUAGGCCAGGGCUGUGAGCAUGGUGACGUGUUGGAGGUGACUGGUACUAAUACACCGACACAAAAAACACA
rnacentral:rRNA from 1 species